UCCUCAGUCUUUGCCCACUCUUAUACCAGGGAGUGUCACUGUUUGUCACAUCCAGGACUGUUGGCUUGUUUUUCAGAUAAGGCCUUGCUAUGUAGCCUAUGUUGGCCUUGAACUCCGGCACUUCCUCUGCCUCAGCCACAAGUGAUGUUGAUGGAAGGCACUGUGAGAAACCACUGGCUAGGAGAACGCAUUCCUCCUACGGGGGACCCUGGCCCGUUUUCCAGCUCAGCUCAGCUCCUUCCGGCAUGGGUUUUCUGCCUAGGCAAAUUUGUUUUUCUUUACAUUUAUUUAGCCCAUGUGUUGAGGGUAGGGUGGCAGUGCGUGCCUUGGCACAUGCGUGUGUAGGUCAAAAGACAGAACAGGAGUCUGUUCUCUCCUUCUACCGUGUGGGUUCUGGGGAUCAAACUCAAGCCCUCAAGUUUGGUCACAAGCUUCUUUAUUCACUGAGCCAUGUCCAUAUGCCCUGUUCUGGGCUUUUUGUACAGCCUGGGCUAAAUACAGCAGUCAGACUCUCAGCUUCCAGAAAUAACUGCUGGGAUCUGCCCUCUUGGUACCUUGAACGUGCUGGCCCAGGUUAACUCAAAGCCCAGUCUCCGGGAACCAUUGGUCAGCCCGAGGAGCAGCAUGUCACCGGAGUGUGUAAGUCCACCGUGACGAGGGGUGGAUGAGAGAGAUGCGUCUGCUUGGCUUGACAAGCUGGCCUGAUGUAAGCAUGGGUAGUCAUGACAGCAAAGGCCAUCUGGCACAAAGAACUGGACGGUUAACACCCAGAUAAAAGGCAAGUCAAGAUAAGGAGCGUAAAGAGAGAACGGUGCCAUCACUUGUGUCCCUGGAUCCAGCCAUUCCUGAAACCAGACAGCUCUGAGAUGUAAACUAAGAGGGCUGCUCUCUCUUUCUCCUUCUCUCUUCCCCGCACCUCCUCUGUUCAGGCUCUGGUUUGAAUCAGUUUCUGUCACUGGCAGCAGAGAACAUUGUGACUAAAGCAUGUCUUCCUCCUUAGUUCUCUAUCUGUCCCCCAUGUGGUUAUCUUCCUGCCCAUCCACUUUUGACCCCAACGGUUCCUACUUCUCUUUCCUCAUGUCCACUUGGAGAACAGUGGCACCCUCUAGGGACACAGUGGGCAGAGUUUCCACAUGUCCUUAUUCCCAUAGUUCCUGCUUUGGACCUGGAUCUGCACCUUGGGUGAUAGGUGAAUUUAAGAGAACAGACAUACUUUGCUAGCUGGUGUGAGCUGGUCUGGUCAGAGGGACAGCCAGGAGCUCCUUUGCUGUCCAGGCCCCCGGAGCAGCGUCAGCAUCCUCUUCCGCCCACACUCUCAGGCAGUAGAGCCGGGGCUGUGCAGGCAGCUGUGUUCUCCCUAGAGGGGUUUCACCCCCGCCUCAGGAAGAGGAAGCCGCCUCCAAGUGUCAUAGAGGGUCAAACAGUCCCAUGGGAGCCGCUCUUGUGGAGGAGGAAACCAAAGUACACAUCGAGGCCCCGGGUGACACAAUCAAUGAGGACUGAGAAUCAAGCGAUGACAAACUAGCUCCAGAGCCCAAAGAUCACAUGGCCACAGCACAGAGCCUCUCAGCAUUGUGGAGUGACAGAUGCAUGCUGAGGCCACCUUAAGGAGUUCGUGGGUGCCAGAGAGGCUGGGGGUGGAGCAGGGCCUCCAAAGCCAAUAGACCUGGACCACAGGUGGCUCUGGCCAACUGCUCUGGGUCUGUCAGCGUUGGCUGUUGUGUCUGUGACACAGAAACAUAAGCUCCGAGGAUACUGAGGACUGCCGAGCUCCAUCACAUUCAAGAACAGCAGUGGCUAUGACCUCUCUGGCUUUCCGGGAUGCAGAGGGGAUCUGACACAGACCGUGAACACACAUGGAUGGAGUCCGAGGAACUACUGUGUUUGGUUUCCCCUGGAGACUCCCUCUGAGUUCCAGAGGGCUGCCCGGAAACACAUCAUCUUCAGGGCCAGGUCCCUAUUUAUGAAAACCCAACCUGUCUGGCCAAAUCAAGAGUCUCGUAUUUAUUGACAUCAUGCAAAAUUCAAGGCCGACUCAAAUUUCAGUUUCACGUUUUGCCUCACUUAACUAGCUGGGGAGAAGAAUUUCAUGUGUGUGGCAUUUUCCUAUUUCAGAUAACGAGCAGAGGAACUGGGGGGCCAGCAAGAUGGUUCAGUGGGUGUAGCUGCUUGCCCUCGAGCCGGAUGGGCUCAGUUUGAUCCUCAGGCCGGCCUGGUAGAAGGAGAGAGACUAGUCCUGAGAGCUGUCCUCUAACUUUCCACACGCGCACAAUAAAGGAGUUUCCCACCUCCGUGUCCUCUCUGUUCCCAUGGGGCCAUACGCCCCUCUCUCAGCACCUCCUACCUUGAUUGUCUGAGAGUCAGGCACACCUGAUUGCCCCUCCCCCCUCCCGCCAGGU
rnacentral:sRNA from 1 species